CCGCGGGCUUCGACCCUCUCGGUAGCGUCGCCGGGAGCUUCGGAGAUGCGAGCGAACGCGGCGGGAGACUGCGGGGCGAUCCGGGGCGCCGGGCCCAUCUCCUGGGGCCCGGCGUUCUUUCACUAAAACUGAAACGGCU